AUACGGAGGGUGCAAGCGUUAAUCGGAAUUACUGGGCGUAAAGCGCUCGUAGGCGGUUUGUUAAGUCGGAUGUGAAAGCCCCGGGCUCAACCUGGGAACUGCAUUCGAUACUGACAGACUAGAGUAUAGUAGAGGCAAGUGGAAUUCCGGGUGUAGCGGUGAAAUGCGUAGAUAUCCGGAGGAACAUCAGUGGCGAAGGCGACUUGCUGGACUAAUACUGACGCUGAGGAGCGAAAGCGUGGGGAGCAAACGGAAUUAGAAACCCCGGUAGUCC
rnacentral:rRNA from 1 species